UACAGAGGGUGCGAGCGUUAAUCGGAAUUACUGGGCGUAAAGCGCGCGUAGGCGGCUUUGCAAGUCGGGUGUGAAAUCCCCAGGCUUAACCUGGGAACUGCAUUCGAGACUGCAUUGCUAGAGUAUGGGAGAGGGAAGUGGAAUUUCCGGUGUAGCGGUGAAAUGCGCAGAUAUCAGGAAGAACACCCGUGGCGAAGGCGGCUCUCUGGGACGGUACUGACGCUGAGACGCGAAAGCGUGGGGAGCGAACAGG
rnacentral:rRNA from 1 species